rnacentral:rRNA from 1 species
GGGGAAUAUUGCACAAUGGGCGAAAGCCUGAUGCAGCGACGCCGCGUGAGGGAUGGAGGCCUUCGGGUUGUAAACCUCUUUCGCUCAUGGUCAAGCCGCGACAUUGGUUGUGGUGAGGGUAGUGGGUAAAGAAGCGCCGGCUAACUACGUGCCAGCAGCCGCGGUAAUACGUAGGGCGCGAGCGUUGUCCGGAAUUAUUGGGCGUAAAGGGCUUGUAGGCGGUUGGUCGCGUCUGCCGUGAAAUUCUCUGGCUUAACUGGGGGCGUGCGGUGGGUACGGGCUGACUUGAGUGCGGUAGGGGAGACUGGAACUCCUGGUGUAGCGGUGGAAUGCGCAGAUAUCAGGAAGAACACCGGUGGCGAAGGCGGGUCUCUGGGCCGUUACUGACGCUGAGGAGCGAAAGCGUGGGGAGCGAACAGGAUUAGAUACCCUGGUAGUCCACGCUGUAAACGUUGGGCACUAGGUGUGGGGGCCACCCGUGGUUUCUGCGCCGUAGCUAACGCUUUAAGUGCCCCGCCUGGGGAGUACGGCCGCAAGGCUA